AUAAGAUAAAGUAGGCGGUGUACGGAAUAUUUUUUGUUAAUUUCUAGUAAUGACUAACAGUUUCCAUUACGAAUUAUGUUAACUGUAAUGUGCUGCGGGUCGAAACAGGUGGCUUACGGCCACCUCAAUCCCACGAGCACGUCAUAAAGCUUACAUACAAACAUACACACACAUACAUUCCAUUGUCGUGGCUUAUAACGAGAGAUUAUCUACUUUGGCAAAUUGAGAUUGAGAUUUUCCCUACACAUUUCGACGGUGCUGCGCCCUCAGUUAAUGGCACUCACUCGUACGUCAGCAGCAGCAGCACCGCACUCGCUAGUGUGUCAGGUCACUGCCAUUAUACGAGCGGACCACACGACAUACAUACAUACGUACGUACAUACGAUGCAUUGUAGCGCCUCGUGCUGUUGUGCGUCUGUUUGAGUUGGAGAGUGCAAGUGAAGUUGGUAACGAUUUUGGUUCGCUUGCGGUGCCUGUGUCUCCUGCAUGGCGCUCGUGCACAUUACCCACUUGCCUACACACAUACAUACAUACGUACAGGCACAGAAAAUGCAGUUGGUUGCAGCUAUUCGUUAACAGCCGGAAUUGGUCGAACCUUUACACCGAAUGCGUGUUGAGUAACUGUAAAAGCAAAAACCGUGAACAACAAGAACAAAUAUGUUCGUUGGCUCGUACAACAUUUUCUUCGUGUGUUAUCCUGAGGAUUGCAGUUGGCAUUUUGGCAUUUAUAACUAAGCUGCUGUGCUCAGUUUUCAUCCUGUCGGUUUUGUCGCUCUUAAACUCAUCGUCAUACUCAACGACGAACAAGGCAAAGGCGACGGUAACGGUAACGGCAACGACGACGACAAUUGCGUGUUGUAUUUUGAUGCUACAUCUCUUGUUGUUGCUGUUGUUGGGUACGUUCCUUCCAUGCGUGCCAUAUACAUGUAUGUGUGUAUGUAGUGUUGGCGUUGGUUGUGCGGCGAACAAUUCCACUUCGAGCACCACGAGUCGAACAUAUUCGAACGUAGAGCCGAGCGCACGUCGUUUUGCACGGCUUGCGUAUUCAGCACAUCGGUAGGGCACGAAGUUGCGAGGCAUUUGUUGGUUGCUGAGCAGCCGUGGCUCAUUCACGCCGGAACGUUGCGAUUGUUAGUGUCGAAUACGUCGCUUGUACGCGUUGUUGCCAUUGCGCUUUAGAGCAAAAUUUCCUUAAAUAAGUACGGCAUUUAAAUUUUUACUCGGUCACACGCAUGUAUGCAUGUAUGUGUGCUGCGUAGCGUGCGUGCGUGCGUGUUUUGUGUGCAUUCUAAUGCGUGAGUGCAGUCAAGUGUGGAUUUGAUGAUGUGUGUGAGUUUAGUAGAAAUGAUUACUUUAAUUACUAUUAUUUAAAAAUAAAUUACAAUUGAUUACAAGUAAUUACAAUAAAUUACCAUUAAUUAAAACUCUUAAUUGUUAAGUGUAAGGAAAACGUUUAAACGAAAGUGUUAAAUAUUGUCGUGCAAGCGUUGCAAUUAAAAGUGUCGCGUUCUAUUUCCGUAAAUAACACAUUUUCAACAUCCUCCCCACUUAUUAGCAACUGCAGUGGCGAGUAAAAUUUCACACAUUACCAAGUGCUGUCAAACACAUACGCAUACAUACAAGCCAAUGUGAACACAAGUGUAUAAUAGAAAAGCGUAUUUUCGUUGAGAUUUCGUGUUGCGCCGCGUUUUAUUAGCUCACAACUGCUUAUAUACUUACAUGCAUACGUAAUAGCAACAAUUGUACAAUCAAAUUAACGCUCUAACACAUUGGCCAGACACACGCACAUAGACAUAGCGGAGUGUUAAUGUUUGUACUGCGUGUAAUACAGGGCGUAUGAGUGCUCCAGUUCCACCAAGCAGAUAUUUCUGAUUUAGCGCACAAAACGCAUUCCUACUAACAUACAUAGCCAAAGAUAUACAUCGCUAUAUACAUGCAUAUGUACAGUAAAUACAAGUAACUGCUGGUGCGCCAAGCGAAAUUGUUGCUAAACGCGCGUGUGUGUGUGUGUGUGUGCGUAGUGCAGUGAAUUUUUCAUGAGCCAACGAAAUUUGUGUUGCUGAUUUAACACAGCCACAACAACACUAACAACGGCCAACAGCAAAACGCAAGAAAACAAAAAAUAAAAACGCCAAAAGCCAAAAAAAAAGAAAAACAAUAACAAAAAAGAAGAACGAGUCAAAAAUAAAAACAAAAAAUAAGCAUAAAACGAGUUUCUAUUUCGCUGCUAUUUUGUGUGCAAAAUAUUCGUUGUUUCUCCUCUUAUUACUACUUGCCUUGUUGGUGCUGACGCUGGCGCUGCGCUGACUUGGCACGCAUAUUUUUACAAUUUACGCCAUAAUUCAAUUCGUUUUUCAUUUUCGCCAACUCAUUCAAGCGCUUUUUAAGGAUACUCGCACGGCUUCAGGCGGCAAGCUUAGCAAAGUAAACGACGCGCAGUCAGCGUUAGUACGCACUAACACUUAGUCAAGAGGCUAGCUUGCAUGUGCGUUUUUGUUUGUGUUGUGGUUGUAAUUUGUGUGCAUAGCGUGUAAAUUAAAUUAUUUACAGUUGGCGUACGCUGGCGUGCUGUAAUUUAUGCGAAAUAGCACCAAAGCGCCUAAAUGUAGGCAACGCUGCAAUUCAAAUAAUUCACAGCUACUCGACGCUGCAGCAAACGACUUUUCACAAGCAGUGUUUUACACUUACGAAAGCAAUUUCAACAAAAUAAAAAUAAAUAAAUAAAAUUCAGAAAUAAAAACAACAAUAACAAAAAUAAAAUGUUUUAAGUAAAAAAAAACAACAUCAAAAUUUUACUUAAAAUUAAAAAGUAUCAUACCAACAAUAGUGUAAACUAAUUGUCAUUCCAAGUGCUUGCCACCAGCGACUGCAACUUUUAUUUGCUGACACUGACAAAACAUAGCCAGCCAUAUCCCCAAAUGAAGUGACAAAAGAAAUUGCUGCAGAAGUUCUGAAACAAGUGCGAAAGCAGCACAGCAAAACAAAAAUACAAUAAACAGAACAAAAAACAAAAAAGGAAAGAAUUUAGUGCAAAAGUGAGAACACAGUGUAAACGCUAAACAACAGGUGAACUUUGCAACUUAAAUAUUAACCUGCGUCUCUGAGGAAAAUUUCAUGAGGACUACAUACUUGCAACCGACACAAAAGCUGCUGAACUGAUAUGCUCUACAACCAGAUCUACGUGAAUUGCUCGCGAAAGUGUUAUUAACAGCUGUUUAAAGGUGAGAGUCACAUUACCAUUAAGAGAGAAAGCCCACACAAUCACACACUAACACACGCUUACAUUGGCUUAAUUAUAGGGAGUGUGGAUUGUGUGAAAGUACACACAUUCAAGCACACAUCCAUAAGUACACACACAUAAGCAGAAAAUCUGUGUUUGUGUGUGUGAACGCUUAACUGCGGCUCAUGCGGCUGCUGCCUGUCGCUUGCGACAGCGUCGGAUAUAUCAAGGACUAAGGUGAGUGGGUCAUGAAUGAAAUUAAAUAUGUAAACGAGUACAUACAAAAGGUGGAAAUAUAUGCAUGAAUGCCUACACAUACACAGCUACAUAUGUAUGUGUGUUUGUGGAGCUAGUGUACAUAUAUAAGCGCGUUGCCACACUGUGCAUAAUGUAGAGAGCGCGCUAGUGUCAAGUUACAGAAUUUUGGCGCGAAUGUGAAUACGAGCUCUGCCUUCAUCCUUGCAGCGCUUAUAAUUAAAUUGAAAUAUUAAACGAAAUGUAAUUGAAUAAUUCACAUUAUGCAUACAACAGCAACAAUUCUGCGGAGAUUACAGCAAAUGAAAUGAAUAGUGCGCCCUUCAGACUAACCGCCAGGCAACAGUAUGCAUUCAGUAUGAAGUGACAGCAACAAAACAG